UGUAAUGCUUCUAGGUCAUGUUGCUUAUCUCCCAGCCAAAACAAUAAAAUGAAUUCUUUUUCAUCCAAACAACAUUCAUUAUGCUUCUGCACAAUUUUAUAUAUUGAUGAGGCUGUGGAAAUAAUCUUGCCCCCUUUAUUGACAUAUAAUGUGUAAUAUUUGUUUUCUUUUUCAUGCCUUGCACAUUUUGCAUCAAUUUGAUAAUAGUAUUUUGUGUUGUAUGUAUUAUUUUAGCCAUUAAUUAUCAUCUCUUCAAACCCAUGAAGGUGCGGAAGGAGAAAUCCAUCUA
rnacentral:misc_RNA from 1 species